rnacentral:lncRNA from 1 species
UCCUCUCCCUCCCCUUUCCCUUCCUCCUCUUUCCUGUCAAGAGGUGAGCAAAGGUUAAAAACUUAUAAAUUUUACUCAUUUUUAAAAGCUUAUGUUUUAAAUGCCAUUUUGAAUUGAUUUUUCCAUCUCAUUUUUCAUAGAUUUAUGGUGAUGAUAAAGCUAAUGCAUGCAUAGUGUUUAGAUAUUCAAGCAUGUUAAAUGUUAUCCUUCUCUUAGCAGAAGAUGCAUAGGAUAUUAUCAACUUUUUUCAGGUCUUUCAUUUAUCCCGAAGAGCAGUUUAGUUUGUGUGAGACCACACUACCAGUCUGUUUUGGGUUUUCCAGAAAGUCACAAUCCGCUAAAUGAUCAUUUGGCUUGGACAUAAUCCUGCUGUUCAUGAUUCUGGAAGUCUCAGAAUGCUGUUUAGUCCCAGAGCUCUUACAAAGAGACAUCAGAGAAUAAGACACAGAAGGCACAUGGGAGAAAAAAUUAAAAACUAUGUUAUAACAGAAGGACAUAAAUAAGGUAUGGAACAGGUUUAUGGAACUCUACACAUCUUCUGAGCUUUUCCACCACAGCUGUUAAAUCUGCAGCUGUAAGUGACCUUCUAUUGCAGACAGCCCCAGGAGUAUGACCUGUGUUCUCUGAGCCCCGUUGGGUGUGAAGGAAUCUGUUGUGUACAACAGAUCUGUUUCAUUGCACAAAACCAAUGAGAAAAAAAUAGGAUUUCAUGGCCAAAGGAAUAGAGAAACAGUGAAUCUGUUUUUCUAGAUAAAUCCCCACAUUUUGGCAGUAUUAUUAAAAAAUAUUCCAAGUGUCAGAAGUAUCAUAAAAAUUUUGGAAAUCAUACUCCACAGGAUUUUGACAGUGGCUGCAAUUUUAAGAAGUUGUUUGAAAAACCUGAUAUUCAAUGUUUUAUUUCAAAUCCCAGAUUGUUAGAAAGAAAAGGAAAGAAAAAAAGAGAUGGCUUAAGUAUAUUGGCUUUUUUUUUGGCUGUAUUUACGUAAUGUGUUUGUGUAAUUCCACAAACUCGAAAACUUGAACCAAAGUCUGCCAACAGUGUGCUUUUAAAGAAACAAAUGAAUAAAAGAUUUCAUAACGUUUUGAGUGAUUUAUAU